rnacentral:rRNA from 1 species
GAUGAACGCUAGCGGGAGGCCUAACACAUGCAAGCCGAGCGGUAUUGUUUCUUCGGAAAUGAGAGAGCGGCGUACGGGUGCGGAACACGUGUGCAACCUGCCUUUAUCUGGGGGAUAGCCUUUCGAAAGGAAGAUUAAUACUCCAUAAUAUAUUGAUUGGCAUCAAUUAAUAUUGAAAGCUCCGGCGGAUAGAGAUGGGCACGCGCAAGAUUAGCUAGUUGGUGAGGUAACGGCUCACCAAGGCGAUGAUCUUUAGGGGGCCUGAGAGGGUGAUCCCCCACACUGGUACUGAGACACGGACCAGACUCCUACGGGAGGCAGCAGUGAGGAAUAUUGGUCAAUGGGUGCAAGCCUGAACCAGCCAUCCCGCGUGAAGGACGACUGCCCUAUGGGUUGUAAACUUCUUUGUAUAGGGAUAAACCUACCUCGUGAGGGUAGCUGAAGGUACUAUACGAAUAAGCACCGGCUAAACUCCGUGCCAGCAGCCGC